AGAUUGCGUGGAGCCGUCCUUGAAAUACCACCCUUGUAGUGUUGAUGUUCUAACGUCGACCCCUUAUCGGGGUUGCGGACAGUGCCUGGUGGGUAGUUUGACUGGGGCGGUCUCCUCCCAAAGCGUAACGGAGGAGCACGAAGGUGGGCUAAUCACGGUUGGACAUCGUGAGGUUAGUGCAAUGGCAUAAGCCCGCUUGACUGCGAGAAUGACAAUUCGAGCAGGUGCGAAAGCAGGUCAUAGUGAUCCGGUGGUUCUGAAUGGAAGGGCCAUCGCUCAACGGAUAAAAGGUACUCCGGGGAUAACAGGCUGAUACCGCCCAAGAGUUCAUAUCGACGGCGGUGUUUGGCACCUCGAUGUCGGCUCAUCACAUCCUGGGGCUGAAGUCGGUCCCAAGGGUAUGGCUGUUCGCCAUUUAAAGUGGUACGCGAGCUGGGUUUAGAACGUCGUGAGACAGUUCGGUCCCUAUCUGCCGUGGGCGUUGGAGAAUUGAAAGGGGCUGCUCCUAGUACGAGAGGACCGGAGUGGACGAACCUCUGGUGUUCGGGUUGUGUCGCCAGACGCAUUGCCCGGUAGCUAAGUUCGGGAUCGAUAACCGCUGAAAGCAUCUAAGCGGGAAGCGAGCCUUGAGAUGAGUUCUCCCUGAUACUUUAAGUAUCCUAAAGGGUUGUCGUAGACUACGACGUUGAUAGGCAGGGUGUGUAAGCGUUGUGAGGCGUUGAGCUAACCUGUACUAAUUGCCCGUGAGGCUUAACCAU
rnacentral:rRNA from 1 species